UACGUAGGGUGCGAGCGUUGUCCGGAAUUAUUGGGCGUAAAGAGCUCGUAGGCGGUGUAUCACGUCGGCCGUGAAAAACCUGCAGCUUAACUGUGGGCGUGCGGUCGAUACGGGCAUCACUGGAGUUCGGCAGGGGAGACUGGAAUUCCUGGUGUAGCGGUGAAAUGCGCAGAUAUCAGGAGGAACACCGGUGGCGAAGGCGGGUCUCUGGGCCGAUACUGACGCUGAGGAGCGAAAGCGUGGGGAGCAAACAGG
rnacentral:rRNA from 1 species